UGGGGAAUAUUGCACAAUGGGCGCAAGCCUGAUGCAGCAACGCCGCGUGAGGGACGACGGCCUUCGGGUUGUAAACCUCUUUUAGUAGGGAAGAAGCGAAAGUGACGGUACCCGCAGAAAAAGCACCGGCUAACUACGUGCCAGCAGCCGCGGUAAUACGUAGGGUGCGAGCGUUGUCCGGAAUUAUUGGGCGUAAAGAGCUCGUAGGCGGUCUGUCGCGUCUGCUGUGAAAACCCGAGGCUCAACCUCGGGCCUGCAGUGGGUACGGGCAGACUAGAGUGCGGUAGGGGAGAAUGGAAUUCCUGGUGUAGCGGUGGAAUGCGCAGAUAUCAGGAGGAACACCGAUGGCGAAGGCAGUUCUCUGGGCCGUAACUGACGCUGAGGAGCGAAAGCGUGGGGAGCGAACAGGAUUAGAUACCCUGGUCAGUCCACGCCGUAAAACGUUGGGCGCUAGAUGUGGGGACCAUUCCACGGUUUCCGUGUCGCAGCUAACGCAUUAAGCGCCCCGCCUGGGGAGUACGGCCGCAAGGCU
rnacentral:rRNA from 1 species